AAAAAAAUAUAUAUUCUAAGUGCAUCAUCUUCGUGAUUUUCUUUUUCUCUUUAAAAAUAAGGGACUGCAAUUGGAAGGAAAUCAGAGAGAAAGAUGGAUCCUCGUCAUUCACACACACAGUUACUGAAUAGCUGGCGUGGUGCCAAAUUUAUUUGGCGUACUGUUCUCAUCUUCAAUCUUGGCCUCGGUGCUUACCUCUUUACAAGACCUGCUAAGAAGGAAAAAAAAGCUAUGACUAGACAACCCAUUACUCCAGCUGAGAUUACCACUCCCACCCCACCCGCUCCUCAAAAUUUUGAACCUUUCUUUUUCCCUAUUCCAGAACCUGUGAAGGUGCCAGAGCCCCUUUCUGUAAAGCAGCAACGCAGUGUUUUUGGAUGGAUGCUAAAAGAGAAAGAGGAUGGUCUAACCUCAAAACCGAGAGGAGAAGAUUAUCAAUGAAGAAAAUGCUCUACUGAAGCAGUUCAUACGAGCAGAUUCCACCCUGAAAAUCUCAUUUAUAUAAGGGCUCAACGCUCUGUCCUUUGAUUACUGCCGAAAAUUUGUUCUUCCGGAUGAGAAUGAAAUAAAGUCAAUACGACUUUGUGUAUCAUAGUCAAGGUGCAUUUUAUCGAUCAUAGCAUGUAUCGGAUGAUAAAUAAAUAUAGUAGUAGUUGAUUUGAGUAUAUUCUUGACAAAAGGCAGCCAUGUUUUGCUGAUUUCAGAUUGAUUCAUGGUCCCUUUUCUACAGAUUUGGACAGAGUAGUUUUGACAAAGUGUAGUUGAUUCUUGCUAUCCAUUCAAUAUUCAGUA